UUAUUGGCACUGUGCCAAUAAAGCUUGCACCCUUCACCACAAUGUGCUCAUCCUUUAACGCCUUAGAGCUUAUCUUUUUACCUUUUUACAUCCGCUUUUAAUGCUGUAUUUGUAUAUGAUGUCUUUGUUUCAUGUUCAUUUUAACCAUGUAAAGCGUCUUUGAGUAUUUUGAAAAGCGCUAUAUAAAUAAAAUGUGUUAUUGUGAAAUGAACAGAAAAGACCUCUUACGCGCGUUACGUCAUGACGUCACUAGGGGGCGCCAGUACGCCGCUCUUUGAAGAAGCCGCAUCAGUUGGUCCGGUGGUCCGCUCACGAAGAGACCGUUUGGGCUGUUUGUUGUUCCAGCUUCCGCCUCGAGCAACCGGGGAACAAACCCGCGGGGCCUUCCACGUGUUCACCGACGUUUUUACGGUGUCUUUACCGGUUUGUUUUUGUUUGUUUUUAACUUAAUUCACCGGUAAGCUAGAAAACGGUCUGCUAGCUUGUGUGAGAUUCGCGUUACCAUGGUGACGUUCCGCACCGGAAGCCGCGGGGACCCGGAUGUGAGCAUCGGGCCGCACCGGAAGAAUCCCAAACCGGGAACCCGGCGCCGGGACGCCCGGGAGGAGACCCCGGGACUGUCCCACCCGAGUCAGGGAACUAACGCUGAGGAAGAGGAACGUGACCCCGAUGGUUCAGGGAGGAAGGUCGAGGAUGACGGGCGAGCGGUGGCGGCCUCCAUCAGGUGGACGCCUUCAUGAGCGAAUGACUACGAUCGGUUCUCCGUUUUAGAGCCGUCGGCGGCUCCCUCGGAUGUUUAGCCUCCGUCUUAAUGUGACACGACAGUCGAUUUAAUCACAUUAUGUGACAUUGAACCUUGUGUUGUUUUUUUAGGAAGUCUCAGAGGCGUCAGAACGCUGCCGGUAAGAAUCCUAAUAAGGACUAACAUUGAACACUCCUCGCAAAGCGUCGCCAUGGAAACGCUGAAGCGUUGCGUUUGGUCACAAUAACGUAAAGGCGUUUUUUGAGGCUUUAGGGUCAUGUGAUCCCACCAUGUGAUGCUUCUCUGUGUGAGUCUCCCAGGUGGAGGAGGGAGGAGUGGUCUGAGGAGAAGCUCCCGGCCGGUGAAUCCCGUCAGCAGAUAUCAGACCUCCGGCCGCUCAGUCAGCUCCAGGUGAGUCAAUCAGAGAAAGUCGCUCUGCUCCAGCAGCGACCAAAGGAAUGAACACCAUCUGCUUGUUUUUGUUGCUGUUGUAAAGAGGAAACGAGGAGGACUGAAACUCUACUGACACCAGAUCAGCUUCUUCAAUGAGCUCUGACAAGUGGAGCCUGUUUGGUGGCUGAUCUGUUUUCGAUUAGUUUGGUCUGAGCCGUUUGGUCCAGAGUUCUCUCCUCCACGGGGACGUGAUGACCACAGCGGUGUGUGCCGACCUUUGUAGCUCAGAGAAAGGUGUGAUUUUCAGAGAAAGAACAACUCGGAUGUUUUCUGAGAUAAAUGCGGUGAAUCAAAGAGAGAAAUACGCAAAUCAGUGAGUUUUCUUUUGAAUGGACUCAAUGCACCGCUUCAUCUCGUCUCUUUAC
ensembl:lncRNA